GGCCUCGUAGCUCAGUUGGCUAAAGCCCUGGCCGUACUAAAACCUUCCCUUUGCUGGCGUGGGUUUGAAUCCCACCGAGGUCG
rfam:Schistocephalus solidus strain NST_G2 genome assembly, scaffold: SSLN_scaffold0002498